rnacentral:tRNA from 1 species
AUUUAUAUAAUAUAAAUAGUAUAUCUGACUUCCAAUCAGAAAGUUUAAUUUUUAAUAUAAAUA